GGGCAGUAUUCAUGUCAAAGAAUUCUUGGAGUUAAUAAUACUUGAUGAAAUAGUCGAGGGGUGUGCAAGUUGGUCCAAACAGCACCAUCAAUACCUCAUAUAAAAAGAAGUUACAUUUAUAGAAGCACAACCCAGAAGAUGCUAAGGUCUAGGAUGUGAUGAGGUGGAACAAAGAUGAAAGUCGUUGCUUACUAUUUCUGGUCAGGCGCUUUUCUAGAUCUGUGGGCCAUUCUGCACAAGCAUAUCGUUGUGAACCUGUGAUUCGAGUGUCAAACAAUAUUACACAUUUAGGCCGUCAAAAGGAUGGUGUAAAACCUAGCCAGCUAUUGUCUUUACCUCCAUUUCCUGGCUGUCCUUUGCCAGGAAAGAAAGUGGCCACCGGUCCUGACCAACCAUCUUGUCAUGUUACUGCCAUUAGCUGGAUCAAAUACUA
rnacentral:misc_RNA from 1 species